GGGCCCGCACAAGCGGUGGAGCAUGUGGUUUAAUUCGAUGAUACGCGAGGAACCUUACCAGGGCUUAAAUGGGAGAUGACAGGGGCAGAGACGCCCUUUUCUUCGGACAUCUUUCAAGGUGCUGCAUGGUUGUCGUCAGCUCGUGCCGUGAGGUGUCAGGUUAAGUCCUAUAACGAGCGCAACCCCUACCGUUAGUUGCCAGCGAUUCAAGUCGGGGACUCUAACGGGACUGCCGGUGCAAACCGUGAGGAAGGUGGGGACGACGUCAAAUCAUCACGGCCCUUACGUCCUGGGCUACACACGUGCUACAAUGGUCGGUACAGAGGGAAGCUACCCCGUAAGGGGAUGCGGAUCUAUAAAACCGAUCUCAGUUCGGAUCGGGGUCUGCAACUCGCCUACGUGAAGGAGGAAUCGCUAGUAAUCGCAGGUC
rnacentral:rRNA from 1 species